CAGUACCACGGUAAUACAGAGGGUGCGAGCGUUAAUCGGAUUUACUGGGCGUAAAGCGUGCGUAGGCGGCUAAUUGAGUCGGAUGUGAAAUCCCCGAGCUUAACUUGGGAAUUGCAUUCGAUACUGGUUAGCUAGAGUGUGGGAGAGGAUGGUAGAAUUCCAGGUGUAGCGGUGAAAUGCGUAGAGAUCUGGAGGAAUACCGAUGGCGAAGGCAGCCAUCUGGCCUAACACUGACGCUGAGGUACGAAAGCAUGGGGAGCAAACAGGAUUAGAUACCCGAGUAGUCCCUGUCUCUUAUACA
rnacentral:rRNA from 1 species